rnacentral:rRNA from 1 species
UACAGAGGUCCCAAGCGUUGUUCGGAUUCACUGGGCGUAAAGGGUGCGUAGGUGGCGAGGUAAGUCGGAUGUGAAAGCCCGGGGCUUAACCCCGGGUCUGCAUUCGAUACGGGCUAGCUAGAGUGUGGUAGGGGAGAUCGGAAUUCCUGGUGUAGCGGUGAAAUGCGUAGAUAUCUGGAGGAACACCGGUGGCGAAGGCGGCAUCCUGGACCGGUAUUGACGCUGAGGCGCGAAAGCCAGGGGAGCAAACGGG